UGGGGAAUAUUGGACAAUGGGCGCAAGCCUGAUCCAGCCAUGCCGCGUGAGUGAUGAAGGCCUUAGGGUUGUAAAGCUCUUUUAUCCGGGACGAUAAUGACGGUACCGGAGGAAUAAGCCCCGGCUAACUUCGUGCCAGCAGCCGCGGUAAUACGAAGGGGGCUAGCGUUGCUCGGAAUCACUGGGCGUAAAGGGCGCGUAGGCGGCGUUUUAAGUCGGGGGUGAAAGCCUGUGGCUCAACCACAGAAUGGCCUUCGAUACUGGGACGCUUGAGUAUGGUAGAGGUUGGUGGAACUGCGAGUGUAGAGGUGAAAUUCGUAGAUAUUCGCAAGAACACCGGUGGCGAAGGCGGCCAACUGGACCAUUACUGACGCUGAGGCGCGAAAGCGUGGGGGGCAAACAGGAUUAGAUACCCUGGUAGUCCACGCCGUAAACGAUGAAUGCCAGCUGUUGGGGUGCUUGCACCGCAGUAGCGCAGCUAACGCUUUGAGCAUUCCGCCUGGGGAGUACGGUCGCAAGAUUA
rnacentral:rRNA from 1 species